UGAGCAAUCUGCCCUUCUCUUCGGAAUAAGCGUUGGAAACGACGUCUAAUGCCGAAUACGACCUCCUUUCGCAUGAUCGGAGGUGGAAAGCUCCGGCGGAGAAGGAUGAGCUCGCGGCCUAUCAGCUAGUUGGUGUGGGUAAUGGCCCACCAAGGCGACGACGGGUAGCCGGCCUGAGAGGGUGACCGGCCACACUGGGACUGAGGCACGGCCCAGACUCCUACGGGAGGNAGCG
rnacentral:rRNA from 1 species